UAUUGGUGAGAAUCUAAUGCCCCGAAAAUCCAAGGGUUCCUCCACAAGGUUUGUCCACGGAGGGUGAGUCAGGACCUAAGAUCAGGCCAAAAGGCGUAGUCGAUGGACAACAAGAGAAUAUUUCUGCACUACCCCUUGUUGGUUCCGAGGGAUGGAGGAGACCAAGUUAGCCGAAAGAUGGUUAUCAGUUCAAGGACGCAAGGUGCAUGUAAAUCUCUAAUUCCUCAAAAGUAGCUUUUGGAUAUGUCUUCAAUAAGGAAUAAGAUGACAAAGAUCUUCUUGAUAUAAAGUCCCUAGUAAAACUAACCUCUUCAUUUAUGGAAAUUCGAUCAUAUUGGAAGUUUUCAUAUGUU
rnacentral:ncRNA from 1 species